ACGUAGGUGACCUGCCCUCAGACUGGGGAUGAUAACCCUGUGGAAACCAGUGGCUAAAACCGUCAGAGGUCCAAGAGUGUUAGAGUGACUUGGACUAAAAACCGAGGUGUCUUGGGAGAGUGGGCCUGCGGGCUAUCAGGCUAGUUGUGUUGAGGUAAAAGCUCACCAAGGCGCAAGACGGCUAGGGGGCGUGAGGAGCUGCGACCCCCCACAGUGGAACUGAGACACGGUCCAUACUCCUACGGGAGGCAGCAGUGAGGAAUAUUGCCCAAUGGGGGAAAACCCUGAGGCAGCAACGCCGCGUGGAUAAGAAGGCCUUCGGGUUGUAAAAUCCUUUUAACAGGGAAAGAUAGUGACGGUACCUGAAAGAAUAAGUCCCGGCUAACUACGUGCCAGCAGCCGCGGUAAAANCGUAGGGGACCAAGCGUUAUCCGGGAUUUAUUUGGGCGUAAAGCGCACGUAGGCGGCCACGGGUAAGUUGGGACGUGAAAGCUCCCGGCUUAACUUGGGAGAGGGCGUGCAAAACUUGGCGAGCUAAAAGGCUGGAAGAGGAGCCGUGGAAAUUCCCGGUUGUAUGGUGGAAAUGCGUNAAUUCGGGAGGAACACCAAUUGCAAAGCCACCCUCUGGUCCAAAACUUGACGUUAGGUGCAAAAGCGUGGGGAGCGAACGGGAUUAAUUACCCCGGUAGGUCCACGCCCGUAAACGAUGGAUACUAGGUGUAGGCGGAUAUAAACCCCGUCUGUGCCGAAGCUAACGCGUUAAGUAUCCCGCCUGGGGAGUACGACCGCAAGGUUAAACUCAAAGGAAUUGACGGGGGCCCGCACAAGCAGCGGAGCGUGUGGUUUAAUUCGAUGAUACGCGAAGAACCUUACCUGGGUUUGACAUCAGGGUGGUAGGAAAGCGAAAGCAGCCCGACCCUUCGGGGAGCCCUGACAGGUGCUGCAUGGCUGUCGUCAGCUCGUGUCGUGAGAUGUUGGGUUAAGUCCCGCAACGAGCGCAACCCCUGUCGCUAGUUACAAGUGUCUAGCGAGACUGCCGGCACAAAGUCGGAGGAAGGUGGGGAUGACGUCAAGUCAGCAUGGUCUUUAUGUCCAGGGCUACACACACGCUACAAUGGCCAGUACAAUAGGUGGCUACAUCGCGAGAUGAUGCUAAUCCAAAAAGCUGGUCCCAGUUCGGAUUGCAGUCUGCAACUCGACUGCAUGAAGGUGGAGUUGCUAGUAACCGCGCGUCAGCGAUAGUGCGGUGAAUGCGUUCCCGGGCCUUGUACACACCGCCCGUCACAUCAUGGGAGUCGGUAACACCUGAAGUCGGUGACCCAACCGCAAGGGCGGAACUGCCGAGGGUGGGACUGGUGACUGGGAUGAAGUCGUACAAGGUAGCUGUAGCGGAAGCUGCGGCUGGAUCACCUCCUU
rnacentral:rRNA from 1 species